rnacentral:tRNA from 1 species
GCCUGGCUGGCUCAUUCAGUACAGUGUGUGACUCCUGAUCUCAAGGUUGUGAGUUCAAGCCCCACGUGGGGCG